AUUUACAGCGCAGUUAAACCCAGUAUCUGAUGUAAGUACGCCAAACGUCAUGGCAUUAACUCCGUCUAGGCUAACAACGAACUCAGUUGCCAGUAUGACAACAAUAAAAGAUAUUAACUACAAAGUCGGGAAUAGUUUCAUUAAUAAUAAUAACUUUGGGGCUGCAGAUCCAGAUCAAACGCUAAUUUCUUUGGGUGAACUGAAAAAAAUAUUAGAAGAAUAUGACAAAGAAG